UACGAAGGGGGCUAGCGUUGCUCGGAAUCACUGGGCGUAAAGGGUGCGUAGGCGGGUCUUUAAGUCAGAGGUGAAAUCCUGGAGCUCAACUCCAGAACUGCCUUUGAUACUGAAGAUCUUGAGUUCGGGAGAGGUGAGUGGAACUGCGAGUGUAGAGGUGAAAUUCGUAGAUAUUCGCAAGAACACCAGUGGCGAAGGCGGCUCACUGGCCCGAUACUGACGCUGAGGCACGAAAGCGUGGGGAGCAAACAGGAUUAGAUGACCCUUGAGUCC
rnacentral:rRNA from 1 species